rnacentral:rRNA from 1 species
UACGUAGGUGGCAAGCGUUGUCCGGAUUUACUGGGCGUAAAGCGCGCGCAGGCGGUUCGUUAAGUCCGGUGUGAAAGCUCCCGGCUCAACUGGGAGAGGCCAUUGGAUACUGGCGGACUCGAGGGAGGCAGAGGAAGGUGGAAUUCCCGGUGUAGUGGUGAAAUGCGUAGAGAUCGGGAGGAACACCAGUGGCGAAGGCGGCCUUCUGGGCCUUUCCUGACGCUGAGGCGCGAAAGCGUGGGGAGCGAACCGG